CAGUGAAUCAUCGAAUCUUUGAACGCACCUUGCACCCUUUGGUAUUCCGAAGGGUACGCCCGUUUGAGUGUCAUU
rnacentral:rRNA from 1 species